CCUACGGGUGGCAGCAGUGAGGAAUAUUGGUCAAUGGCCGAGAGGCUGAUCCAGCCAAGUCGCGUGAGGGAAGACGGCCCUACGGGUUGUAAACCCCUUUUGUCGGGGAGAAAAGCGAGUCACGUGUGACUCAUUGAGAGUACCCGAAGAAAAAGCAUCGGCUAACACCGCGACAGCAGCCGCGGUAAUACGGGGGAUGCGAGCGUUAUCCGGUUCUAUUGGGUUAAAGGGGUGCGCAGGCGGAGGUGCAAGUCAGCGGUAAAAUGGCGGGGCUCAACCCCGUACUGCCGUUGACACUGCAUCCCUUGAGUGCACGAGAGGUAUGCGGAAUGCGUGGUGUAGCGGUGAAAUGCAUAGAUAUCACGCAGAACUCCGAUUGCGAAGGCAGCAUACCGGCGCGCAACUGACGCUCAUGCACGAAAGCGUGGGUAUCGAACAGGAUUAGAUACCCCAGUAGUC
rnacentral:rRNA from 1 species